rnacentral:lncRNA from 1 species
GAACAAGUGUAUAGUUUUAAAUUAAGAAUUGAAUGCUUCUUUUUGUAAAUUUAUUGGGGUGUAAAAGCGUUGACCGAAGUACAUUUUGUAUGAAGAGCGGAAGCGCUUCAUUCUUAAAAUGUACGCACGGUCAACGCUUUUACAACCCUAUAAAGUUACAAAAAGAAGCAUUCAAUACUUAUUAAUUACAUUUUUUAGCUAUGAUCAUGAACACACG